AUACCAUGCUUCCAGGAAAAGUCUCUAAGCUUCAGUUACAUAGGAAUCGUACCCGAAACCGACACAGGUGGUCAGGUCGAGUAGACCAAAGCGCUUGAGAGAACUCUGCUGAAGGAACUAGGCAAAAUGGUACCGUAACUUCGGGAGAAGGUACGCUGCCGACGGUGAUAGGAUUUACUCCUUGAGCUAUUGGCAGCCACAGAAACCAGGCCCCUGCAACUGUUUAUUAAAAACAUAGCACUCUGCAAACACGAAAGUGGACGUAUAGGGUGUGAUGCCUGCCCGGUGCUGGAAGGUUAAUUGAUGGGGUUAGCGUAAGCGAAGCUCUUGAUCGAAGCCCCAGUAAACGGCGGCCGUAACUAUAACGGUCCUAAGGUAGCGAAAUUCCUUGUCGGGUAAGUUCCGACCUGCACGAAUGGCAUAAUGAUGGGGGCGCUGUCUCCAGCAGAGACUCAGUGAAAUCGAAUUCGCCGUGAAGAUGCGGUGUACCCGCGGCUAGACGGAAAGACCCCGUGAACCUUUACUGCAGCUUGACAUUGAACUUUGAUCUUACUUGUGUAGGAUAGGUGGGAGGCUUUGAAACCGAGACGCUAGUUUCGGUGGAGCCAAUCUUGAAAUACCACCCUGGUAAUAUUGAGGUUCUAACUCUGUCCCGUUAUCCGGGACGAGGACCAUGUCUGGUGGGUAGUUUGACUGGGGCGGUCUCCUCCUAAAGAGUAACGGAGGAGUACGAAGGUGCGCUCAGCGUGGUCGGAAAUCACGCGUAGAGUAUAAAGGCAAAAGCGCGCUUAACUGCGAGACCCACAAGUCGAGCAGGUACGAAAGUAGGUCUUAGUGAUCCGGUGGUUCUGUAUGGAAGGGCCAUCGCUCAACGGAUAAAAGGUACUCUGGGGAUAACAGGCUGAUACCGCCCAAGAGUUCAUAUCGACGGCGGUGUUUGGCACCUCGAUGUCGGCUCAUCUCAUCCUGGGGCUGAAGCAGGUCCCAAGGGUAUGGCUGUUCGCCAUUUAAAGAGGUACGCGAGCUGGGUUUAGAACGUCGUGAGACAGUUCGGUCCCUAUCUACCGUGGGCGUUGGAAAUUUGAGAGGAUCUGCUCCUAGUACGAGAGGACCAGAGUGGACGAACCUCUGGUGUACCGGUUGUGACGCCAGUCGCAUCGCCGGGUAGCUAUGUUCGGAAGGGAUAACCGCUGAAAGCAUCUAAGCGGGAAGCCUACCUCAAGAUAAGAUUUCCCUAGGACUUUAUGUCCUCUAAAGAGCCGUUGAAGACUACGACGUUGAUAGGUUGGAUGUGGAAGCAUAGUGAUAUGUGAAGCUGACCAAUACUAAUUGCUCGUGAGGCUUGAC
rnacentral:rRNA from 1 species